rnacentral:misc_RNA from 1 species
ACCAAGUGGCUUUGGUUUCAAAGCUACUUUGGUUAUUGUGGAAAAAGCUCAGCAUUUAUGCUGGGCUUUUUUUGUUUUUGUGAGUUCAGCUACUCUUCAUCACUUGAAUUAUCUUAUCUUUUCUUCCCUUUUCUUCCGUCUCGCUUAAAAAAGUCUACCUAGUUCACAAAUGUUGCAAAAAAGUAGCUUUACCUUGUCAAAAAGUAAGGUUUUCUUUAUCAUUUAUGGGUUAAAACAACAGCAUAAUAAUUAUGAACGAAUUCCUUGAUCUGUUUUAGAGUUUAGAACAUCAAAAUUCUGUUGUAUCACACCUUGAAAGUUAGCC